rnacentral:rRNA from 1 species
GCAUAUCAUAAGCGGAGGAAAAGAAACCAACAGGGAUUGCCCUAGUAACGGCGAGUGAAGCGGCAACAGCUCAAAUUUGAAAUCUGGCCCCCGGGUCCGAGUUGUAAUUUGUAGAGGAUGCUUUUGGUGCGGUACCUUCCGAGUGCCCUGGAACGGGACGCCAUAGAGGGUGAGAGCCCCGUCUGGUUGGACGCCAAUCCUUUGUAAAGCUCCUUCAACGAGUCGAGUAGUUUGGGAAUGCUGCUCUAAAUGGGAGGUAUAUGUCUUCUAAAGCUAAAUAUUGGCCAGAGACCGAUAGCGCACAAGUAGAGUGAUCGAAAGAUGAAAAGCACUUUGAAAAGAGAGUUAAAAAGUACGUGAAAUUGUUGAAAGGGAAGCGCUCAUGACCAGACUUGGGCUUGGUUGAUCAUCCAGGGUUCUCCCUGGUGCACUCUUCCGGCCCAGGCCAGCAUCAGUUCGCUGUGGGGGAUAAAGGCUUCGGGAAUGUGGCUCCCUCGGGAGUGUUAUAGCCCGUCGUGUAAUACCCUGUGGUGGACUGAGGUUCGCGCAUUCGCAAGGAUGCUGGCGUAAUGGUCAUCAGCGACCCGUCUUGAAACACGGACCAAGGAGUCGUCUUCGUAUGCGAGUGUUCGGGUGUCAAACCCCUACGCGUAAUGAAAGUGAACGCAGGUGAGAGCUUCGGCGCAUCAUCGACCGAUCCUGAUGUUCUCGGAUGGAUUUGAGUAAGAGCAUACGGGGCCGGACCCGAAAGAAGGUGAACUAUGCCUGUAUAGGGUGAAGCCAGAGGAAACUCUGGUGGAGGCUCGCAGCGGUUCUGACGUGCAAAUCGAUCGUCAAAUAUGGGCAUGGGGGCGAAAGACUAAUCGAACCUUCUAGUAGCUGGGUUUCCGCCGAAG